rnacentral:rRNA from 1 species
AUUCCAGCUCCAAUAGCGUAUAUUAAAGUUGCUGCGGUUAAAAAGCUCGUAGUUGGAUCUCAACUCAUGUCAGGUGGACUCCGAAAGGCAGUUACCAUCUGGCUGAGUGGUUCACGGAGUUUCUUGUGAUACUCUUAACCGGGUGUCACUUGAAUUCCGUGGUGUUACCUUGAAAAAAUUAGAGUGCUCAAGGCAGGCUACUCGCCCGAAUAAUCUUGCAUGGAAUAACGGAAUAGGACUUCGGUUCUAUUUUGUUGGUCUUCGGAUCCGAGGUAAUGAUUAAGAGGGACUGACGGGGGCAUUAGUAUUGCGGCGCUAGAGGUGAAAUUCUUGGACCGUCGCAAGACUAACAACAGCGAAAGCAUUUGCCAAGAAUGUUUUCAUUAAUCAAGAACGAAAGUUAGAGGUUCGAAGGCGAUCAGAUACCGCCCUAGUUCUAACCAUAAACGAUGUCAACCAGCAAUCAGCUAGAGUCAUAUCUGACUCGGCUGGCAGCUUCCGGGAAACCAAAGUCUUUGGGUUCCGGGGGAAGUAUGGUUGCAAAGCUGAUGACGGAAGGGCACCACCAGGAGUGGAGCCUGCGGCUUAAUUUGACUCAACACGGGAAAACUCACCCGGCCCGGACACUAUGAGGAUUGACAGAUUGAGAGCUCUUUCUUGAUUCAGUGGGUGGUGGUGCAUGGCCGUUCUUGUUGGUGGACUGAUUUGUCUGGUUAAUUCCGAUAACGAACGAGACUCUAGCCUAUUAAAUAGAACCUCAGCUCUUCGGCGCUGGGGGGACUUCUUAUAGGGACUAGUGGCGAUCAGCCACACGAGACAGAGCAAUAACAGGUCUGUGAUGCCCUCAGAUGUCCGGGGCCGCACGCGCGCUACAAUGAAGUAAUAAACAGGUUUAACCUACCCUCACUGCGAAGUGUGGGUAACCCUGUGAAACUGCUUCAUGAUGGGGAUUGGGCUUUGUAACUAUUGCCCAUGAACGAGGAAUUCCCAGUAAGCGCGAGUCAUUAGCUCGUGUUGAUUACGUCCCUGCCCUUUGUACACACCGCCCGUCGCUACUACCGAUUGAAUGAUUUAGUGAGGUCUUCGGAUCAGCUAGUGAAGCAACUCUCGGGUCGCUGAGCCAAGCUGAGAAGAUGACCAAACUUGAUCAUUU